UUUUCUUUUUCACAGGUUUUGAUAAAUCUCCCCCCAGUGUUUUUGGCAAAAAUGCCACAAAGACGGCAUCUUGGGAGAAAAGAAAUGAGGGGGCAGUUUUUUGUGAUGCUUUUUAUUUUUGGCCAAAAAAAAAAAACCUCAAACAAAAAUGUAGUCGUUUUUUAAAGGAGCACUGCAGCUGUAUAUAACUUAUCCGCAGGAUAGGGGAUAGUGUUUGACCACUGGGGGUGCGACCGUUGGGACCCCCUGUGAUCUCCCAUACUGGACCCGGCACUGCCACGGCUCCGCACGGCUAGUCCUCGUGUUGUCGGUCUCAGUGAGGUCGGCGACAUGAGCACUAGCCGCGCAGAGGUCAGACCUCCCCCGCAAUCAAACACUUAUCCCCUAUUUCCUUUAAAGCUCAAAUUGCUGCUGGGCAUGCUGGGAAUUGUAGUUUUGCAACAGCUGGACAGCCACAGGGGAUCACUGAUGUUGUAUGUCAAUCCCGCCCCCAUGCUGCCUGAUCUUGUACUGGCAGCAGGAGCCACAACCACUUUAAAUCAAUGAGCAAGAUGGACGUCUGAAGAGGGAUGUUUUUCUGCUCCACACCGCAGCGUCAGGGGCUUCACUCGUCUGACGUCCCAGCAGCCAUCGAUGCUCAUUGAGCCUCCCGGUGCCGCACCGAUCUGUGUAAGAAACCUAUGGGCCCAGGCUGUUGGGGCCACCAAAUGAUAUUACAAAUACUGAGUGUCUGGUUAGGUGAAACAAAUAUAUAACGCACCCAUGGAGAGUAGCGCCAUUUUAAUAAAAAUUGCCAAAAAUCCCUUAGAUUACAGUCAUGCAGAAUAUGUUAAAAAGCUUUUUGGGAUUUCAGCCAAUCAGAGAGCAGCACUACUCAAAUAGAACUCCCAGGAGGAGCAGCGUGUCACACAUGUGAUGUCAUAACUACUUUGCCACCAGAGAGCAGCACUGAGCAGAAAUAACACGGCUCCUGCUCAUUGUUCAUCAGUCAGGGGCCGAUGCUGGACACUGUACCAGGGAAUGGAGACUCAUACACGACUGUGACUGAUGCACUAUUUCCAGACGUGGAGUCGCAUUUCUAGACGUACAGCAAAAAGUUGGAUGAAGGCAUAGCCCCUGGAAUCACGCACAUACACAGACACUUUGCCCAAAUUCUAGAGGUAACCUCCUUUAGUAUGCCCAGAGGAAGGGCAGUACAGUAGCCAUGGAUUCCCUACAGGUUUCCUCCCCUCUGGAGGUUUUUCCUGUCCUGAGUAUUAGUUACUGUACGCUCUUAGUGAGUGAUGGAGGUUACAUAAAAUCCCUACACAAACAUUGUAAUAAAUAAUAAAUAAAGUUCCCCUUUUAAAAGUU